rnacentral:hammerhead_ribozyme from 1 species
AUCCGGCUGACGAGUCUUAAAUAGGACGAAACGCGCGUUCUGGAU